CCCUUGGUAGCUCAGUUGGAAGAGCGUGAGACUGUAAAGGUUACUUACGUAAUACAUUCUGGAUUACGUAAUCUCAAGGUCACUGGUUCGAACCCGGUCCGAGGGA
rnacentral:tRNA from 1 species